CUCCUAGAUUACAUCUUUACAAAAACAAUGUGCCAGCUCCUUCACUUCUUGAUUGUUAUCUCAGAAUAAAUUACAGUUCUGACAUCUCUUUUCAUUUGCCACUACAACCAAACUUUCAUUCUCUGAAGCAAAAGACAAAAAGCUUUGAUGCACUUCUUUAAGCAAGACAGAACCAACCACCCACCUGCCAUACAUUUCCUGGUCUGGAGCAGUGACGUCACUGAGCACAGCUGAUCCCCCAGUUUCAGAUCAGAGCAGGAGAAUUUUCACCCUGCAAGAGAGAGCCGGCAGCAUGGUUUGCUCUGGUUUGCUGUGGGUAUUCGUGGUUUCCACCUAUCUUGGAUCCAGCAUGGCCCAGAAGGUCACCCAGACUCAACCAGAAAUGUCUGUGCACGAGGCAGAGACUGUGACCCUGGACUGCAUGUUUGACACUAGUGACAGUAAUUAUUAUUUGUUCUGGUACAAACAGCCUCCCAGCAGGGAGAUGGUUCUCAUUAUUCGCCAAGAAGCUAAUAAGCAAGAGAAUGCAACAAAUAAUCGCUUCUCUGUGAACUUCCAGAAGGCAGACAAAUCCUUCAGUCUCAGGAUCUCAGCCGCCCAGCUGGAGGAUGCUGCGAUGUAUUUGUGUGCUCUCAUGGAGGGCACAGUGACAGGAGCAACAGAGGGAGGUUUACAGAAACCUCAGACCUCAGCAUCUGUGCAGAGGUCGGGGGAAGGGGAAGGGUGAGUGGUUGGGGUACCAGGAGCAUAGAGAGGGAAUCAUCAGCUUCUCCAGAGAAAAAACAUACUAUUCUAUCGAACCAGAGGAAACACAGAAAGGAUGUCUGUAAGCCUUAGUAAUUCUCAAAAUAGUAAUAAAAAUAACUAGUCCCUCAGCAUGGAAUGCCCAUCCCCACUCAGCCACUUCUCUAGUGUUCAAGGUGUUCUGAAGUGUCUCCUCUUCUCGAAGU